rnacentral:rRNA from 1 species
AAUCAACGCUGGCGGCGUGCCUCAGACAUGCAAGUCGAACGAUUAAAGCUCUCUUCGGAGAGUGCAUAGAGUGGCGCACGGGUGAGUAACACGUAAGUAAUCUACCUUCGAGUGAGGAAUAACGUCCGGAAACGGACGCUAAUACCGCAUAAUGCAGCGGCAUCGCAAGAUGACAGUUGUUAAAGAUUUAUCGCUUGAAGAGGAGCUUGCGGCAGAUUAGCUAGUUGGUAAGGUAAUGGCUUACCAAGGCUACGAUCUGUAACCGGUCUUAGAGGACGGUCGGUCACACUGACACUGAAUAACGGGUCAGACUCCUACGGGAGGCAGCAGUCGGGAAUUUUGGGCAAUGGGCGAAAGCCUGACCCAGCAACGCCGCGUGAAGGAUGAAGUGUUUCGGUAUGUAAACUUCGAAAGAAUGGGAAGAAUCAAUGACGGUACCAUUUAUAAGGUCCGGCUAACUACGUGCCAGCCGCCGCCGUAA